GAUGAACGCUGGCGGCGUGCUUAACACAUGCAAGUCGAACGAUGAAGCCCAGCUUGCUGGGUGGAUUAGUGGCGAACGGGUGAGUAACACGUGAGUAACCUGCCCUUAACUCUGGGAUAAGCCUGGGAAACUGGGUCUAAUACCGGAAAGGGGCUUCCACCGCAGGGGGGGGGUUGGAAAGAUUUAUCGGUUUUGGAUGGACUCGCGGCCUAUCAGCUUGUUGGUGAGGUAAUGGCUCACCAAGGCGACGACGGGUAGCCGGCCUGAGAGGGUGACCGGCCACACUGGGACUGAGACACGGCCCAGACUCCUACGGGAGGCAGCAGUGGGGAAUAUUGCACAAUGGGCGCAAGCCUGAUGCAGCGACGCCGCGUGAGGGAUGACGGCCUUCGGGUUGUAAACCUCUUUCAGUAGGGAAGAAGCGAAAGUGACGGUACCUGCAGAAGAAGCACCGGCUAACUACGUG
rnacentral:rRNA from 1 species